ensembl:ncRNA sisRNA:CR46358 stable intronic sequence RNA CR46358
UUCCUAAAAACCGAAUAAUGCAACCAGGCAUCGGAAAGCGACCUGAUCCGUAGGACAGGUUUAUGUCUGACAGGCUUGGAUUACCCGGAGGAGAGGGGUCGGACUAUGCUGUCGAGAAAAGUGCGCCUUCUGCGUGGUACAUAAAAACCCUACAGACUCUCAGACUCUCUCUCUAUCCCUUGAUCUUGAACUCCAACACUGCAGCAGCGUACUGAC